AGCGGGGUGAGGCAGCGGUAGCCUGACGGUCUCAUGAGCCGUAAUGCGGCGGUUCAAAUCCGCCCCCCGCAACCA
rnacentral:tRNA from 1 species